UACGAGGGGGGCGAGCGUUGUUCGGAUUCAUUGGGCGUAAAGGGUGCGUAGGCGGUCUGCUAAGUUUGAUGUGAAAUCCCGGGGCUCAACCCUGGAAUGGCAUUGAAUGCUGGUGGACUAGAGUACUGGAGAGGAAACUGGAAUUUACGGUGUAGCAGUGAAAUGCGUAGAGAUCGUAAGGAAGACCAGUGGCGAAGGCGAGUUUCUGGACAGUAACUGACGCUGAGGCACGAAGGCCAGGGGAGCAAACGGG
rnacentral:rRNA from 1 species